GAUGAACGCUGGCGGCGUGCCUAAUACAUGCAAGUAGAACGCUGAAGCUUGGUGCUUGCCCCGAGCAGAUGAGUUGCGAACGGGUGAGUAACGCGUAGGUAACCUGCCUCUUAGCGGGGGAUAACUAUUGGAAACGAUAGCUAAUACCGCAUAAAAGUCGAUAUCGCAUGAUAUUGAUUUGAAAGGUGCAAAUGCAUCACUAAGAGAUGGACCUGCGUUGUAUUAGCUAGUUGGUGAGGUAACGGCUCACCAAGGCGACGAUACAUAGCCGACCUGAGAGGGUGAUCGGCCACACUGGGACUGAGACACGGCCCAGACUCCUACGGGAGGCAGCAGUAGGGAAUCUUCGGCAAUGGGGGCAACCCUGACCGAGCAACGCCGCGUGAGUGAAGAAGGUUUUCGGAUCGUAAAGCUCUGUUGUAAGAGAAGAACGAGUGUGAGAGUGGAAAGUUCACACUGUGACGGUAACUUACCAGAAAGGGACGGCUAACUACGUG
rnacentral:rRNA from 1 species